rnacentral:rRNA from 1 species
ACGCUCGACACCUACUGGAGGCAGCAGUGGGGAAUAUUGCACAAUGGGGGAAACCCGUGAUGCAGCGACGCCGCGUGGAGGAAGAAGGUCCUCGGAUUGUAAACUCCUGUUGUUGGGGAAAAAGAGGAUGGUACCCAACAAGGAAGUGACGGCUAACUACGUACCAGCAGCCGCGGUAAUCUGAGCGGGCUGGCAAGGC